rnacentral:tRNA from 1 species
UCCCUGGUGGUUCAGUGGCUAAGACUCUGCACAUCCAAUGCAGGGGGUCGGGGUUUGAUCCCUGGUCAGGGAA